AUUGGACUAAGAAAAAAUGGAUUUAAAUGCAAUUUGUGCUGAAUAAUUUCGGCAUAAUCUUAACACACACAAGUUCUAGGUGUGAAUACCUACCCCGUAUAUGUGUGUACUAACAUGAUACUAAAUGUUGUUGUUUCAUCUGUCUCUAGCAAAUAUUCAAAACAUCAUCACAAAUUUGUUGCCCUCCCACCCCUCAGGGUUGUUGUCUACCCAGAUGUGGCUGCAUUGUCAGUAUCAAUUUACGUAAUUUUUCUCAAUUCAAAACAAGGCAGUAUAAGUGUAAAAUGUGUGUACAUCCAGUUCCCAAGUAAAUAUGUUCUGCACCCCAGAGCUUCUGUGUUUCACAAACUCUUCCAAGCCAGGAAAAUCUUAAAGGGUAGUAAAAAACGUGAGUGCCGUACUGCUCUUCUCGCAUAAGGUAAAUCCAAGAAUGACUGAAAACUUUUAUAAGGAUCCCAUUUUUCUAGCAAUCUCCCUUUCCAGGAGUGGUUCUCUACCUGUUCACAUGUUCAGCUACCCUCAAGCAAGGGAUAGGCUGUUCUUUCCUCCCUUUAUUAGGCUUUUUUAACUACCAUUAUCUUUUUAUCUGAGUUACUUUUCCAGCUGGGUUUUUAACUUAGUUACUGGUUGGUAAACGCUGGUCUUCAUAAGUUUGAAUAAUGACAGAUUUUGACAACAUUAAACAAAAAAAAUUAGAUACCUGAAAGUAUCACAGAAUUCAACCCUCUUGAGUCUGUUUUUUUAUUUAAUGUCUAGAUGAAAAUGCUACCUUCUAAGUCUCCGUGCAUGUGGCUUGGUCCUUGGGACAAGUGCCAAGACAAGAAUUUUAGAUGCCUGAAAUCAUGUGCUCAGCAGGUGUAAAUUGUAUUCAGGGAGCGUUCACCUUUUCUCUUUAACCCCGAAGGCAGUUUCUCUUCAUUAGCAAGGGGAGAUGGAGAAAAAGAUUAUCACCAUUGCCUGACUAUAUGCCAGUGUUAUGUAUCAUAAGAAGAAAAUCUGUUCAUAUGUUCACAAAUAUGUUUUUUCCUAAUCUGUCUUCUGGAAGAAGUCUUUGGGAGGAGCAAGGGGUAAGAAUGGCAGGAGACUUGAAAUGAAGUGACAGAAACAGAAGCAAAAUUUCUCUACAGAGAUUUUUUCAAGCAGGACCUGCAUGGUAGCACAAGCAACUUAACUACUAGAGAGCCAGGCAGUGAAAAGGAGCCAUGUGGAGUAUCCGUAUUCUUCUGGGGCAAACAGCUGAGGUAGUGACAGGCCAGAAUCAGCCCAUGUGAAAAUACAAUUUUAUCCAGCCACAGCAGCUGAACUUGGGAUGUUUGAGUCCACAGGUGACCCUAAGCUACAGCAUCUUCCUCAGAGAUACACAGCAGGGUCAACAGCAGACCUGGAGUUCCAUGGCUCGGCUCUGCAGCAGCAAAGCCCAUGGGAAGGGCCCUGUGUGUCAAGCCUUAGGCAGAAGCAUCAAGGUACGAGUCCCUUUAAAGGAGACCCAUAAUAGAAAAAAAUGUAUUUGUCCUGUUCUGAGGAAUAAAAAGG